GCCUGGGUGGCUCAGUCGGUUGAGCGUCCGACUUCGGCUCAGGUCAUGAUCUCACGGUUCGUGAGUUCGAGCCCCACGUCGGGCC
rnacentral:tRNA from 1 species